AAGUCGUAACAAGGUUUCCGUAGGUGAACCUGCGGAAGGAUCAUUAACACGUAUCCAAACGUUCAAACCCCCCCCCGUGAACCUUCAUCCUGCUCUUGUAACCCGCGUUGGCUACGUGCGAACAUUGGAACAGUUACAAUCGAGCGGUAGUUCUAUAGGCAAUGUUUCUCCAAGCAGUCAGUGUCGGAAAGUGUCAUUGAUUGUGCAAGGAUAGCGCUUCUACGAUUCCUGUAGACCGUACACUCGGGCAGGAGCUUUGCCAAAGGGUCCCCAUGCCCCCUAAUAACCCCACAGUUUAAUGUGAAGCUCAAUGUAAUACAUUGGGUAAAAAAACCGAACAACUGUUAACAAUGGAUAUCUUGGUUCUC
rnacentral:misc_RNA from 1 species